CCUACGGGAGGCAGCAGUGGGGAAUAUUGCACAAUGGGCGAAAGCCUGAUGCAGCAACGCCGCGUGAAGGAAGACGGUUUUCGGAUUGUAACUUCCUACCAAAGGGAAGGAAAGAAUUACCGGUCCCAAAAAAGGAACCCCGGCUAACUACGUUCCAGCAGCCGCGGGAAUACGUUGGGGGCAAGCGUUAUCCGGAAUUACUGGGUGUAAAGGGAGAGUAGGCGGCAAGGUAAGCGAUAUGUGAAAGCCUUAGGCUUAACCAAAGGAUUGCAUAACGAACUAUCUAGCUAGAGUACAGGAGAGGAAAGCGGAAUUCCUAGUGUAGCGGUGAAAUGCGUAGAUAUUAGGAAGAACACCAGUGGCGAAGGCGGCUUUCUGGACUGAAACUGACGCUGAGGCUCGAAAGCGUGGGGAGCGAACAGGAUUAGAUACCCGGGUAGUC
rnacentral:rRNA from 1 species